GGGGGGGGCAUAAGUUCAUAAAUGCAUCAAAGAACGCUUGUCAAGAUGGAUAAUAGGAAGGGUGAACAGUGUCUGCUGUGUAUUUGCUUAGCCUCUAUUCUGUUUACUCUCCUGAAUACUCUCUAAAAUUCCUCUUGCUGUUUUGUUUAAAUUUAGAACAAUGUUGAAGUUCUGUAGCUGCUCAUUAUCCCACUUGAAAUUUAACUUAAAAUGUUAUUUUGCAUCAUGUAGUUCAGCUGGAAAGCUGCCCAAGACAAGAAUUGAGGUCUGUGGUAGUGAACUACAGAGGAAGUGGUCUAAGCAAGACUCCCUUCUGGGGAUAUUCCAACAUUUUAUUACAUUGUGUGUACUAAUGAGUAGAGCAAAGGACUGAGAGCCAGGAAGGGCAGUUUUAAUCAAAUGACUCAUGAUACGGCCUUCAGAAAAAUACGUGACCUUGUAAAUCAGCCAUCUUAGCUGUAACAGUGGGUAAAAAUAGGGGCUCAGUGUAGACUUCAAUCAGAGAUACAGAUGUGCCUGCUUCAGCCUCAUUCAUGGUCUGCAUUUUUUGUUCCUCUGCUUUGGAAGAGACAUCAUGGGAAGACAGAAGAUCUUCUUUCAGCUACUGCAGAGAAGCUCAAAUCAAUGUUGGUGUGUAUUCUUCCUUGAACAAGAGCUUUUAAAAUUAUCAGGUGGAGGCCAGUCCUUUGCUCAGUCUGACUUACCUGUGAGUGAUCAAAUGGUCAGGGUGGUGAUCAGGGACACCAGGCACAAGGAGGAUGAAGAGAUGUGUUUUGAAAGGUGGGUUCAAAUUGGAUGUGGUGCUGGUGCAGUUUGUCUCACCAGUUGGAGCUGGGAGACUAGCAGGACAGCAGUUUGGGACACUGGAGCCCAAAUGAUGUUCUUUAAUUGGUACAUGAAGUGCAUUGGGUUUCCAAAUGACACUGGAAACGCUGUCUUGGCCAUCACCCCAACAAACUGUGGUUGUUUAAGAUGUCACAGGCCUUUUUUUCAAUCAAAGGUAGAGCUUUGGUACCUGGCUAGUCUGAUCUAUUUAAGAGAAGCCUGCUGCUGCUGCUGCUUCCUGCAGCUUCAGCUACCUGUGUUAGUCCUUUCGGCUAUCUCACAUCAUGACCCCAGAACUCCACCUGCAGAGCUUCAGGCUCUCAGCAGUGUGUGAAAGCAUUCACCUGUCCCCAAGAUCCUUUUGGAUGGAAGGUGUGUUACAGAAGUAUCAAGAGCUACAUAUCCUGUUUCUUUAUAUUUCGGGCCCUAAAAAAGGAACAGGACUGACUCACUUUACCAAAUUUUGAACCAUCCCGCUUAAUUCAGUCCCGUGUUACACAUCUGCCUGACUGUUCUUCAUAAAUGAGACAGAAAAAACCUGGUUCAUGUGGGCACAGCAGUUUGGGGUUGGAUCAUUAUUCCUCAAGUUCUGCAGCAGUUAAGAAGAAAAUAUAGAAACAAUUUAAAUUUCCAUGACAUCAGCAGAGAAAAAGCUUUGAAGAUACAGGGAACUUAAGAACUCAACUCAUGGCACUUUUAGCGGAAGUUGCAUGCUUUGAACAUCUCCAUAAUAAAUAACUGCCAUGUGGGUGAUUUUUCA